GAUGGACACGGACGUCCGCGAGUCCGUUUUGUCCGUGUCCGUCAAAAUCGCUAAACGGCGUCGCGGAGAGUCCGUUUAAAUUAUAUGGACUGAACGGACACGGCUUUGUCAGUCUGGUAUGUCCGUGUAUCCUGAAUUUUUUUUGGAAACAGACCUCGAGUGGAUAGGCCACGCCGCCCUGCAGUUCGCCACCGCUGGCCCGGCGCGGCGGCGACCCGUCCGCCAUCGCCUCCACUUGGCCUACGCCCAGUUCGUCGCCGCCCUCCACCCCGUCCAGUUCCGCGUCCGCCCCUCUACUCCCAGCUCGCAGCCCAGUGUGUGCCCUCCUCGCCUGCGUCAUCCCUGUCGUCGUUGCGUGCGGAUAAAUUGUGGUGGAGGAGGAGAACAAUCCGUCAGAGGAGGAGGGGGACAAGAACCCGGCAGAGAAAGAAGAUGACGAGAACCCGGCAUGGGAGGGCGACAAGUCGGCAGAGAAGGAGGACAUGAAUCUAGCGGGACAGAGUGAUGGUUUGUCGCGGCAAGACCUUGUUAGUCGGCUUGGUCCGGCGUGUCCGAGUUUCCUCCAUGUUGGUCUUCCGUUGCUGUGGAGUCGGAGCUGCCAUGUUCUUCAAGGGUUUUCUCUUGGGCGGCGUACAAUGACUUUCAAGGGGUGGUCCAGGUGAAGUUUUCCUUCGGCACGGGUCUCGCGCAUCCCCUCUCCGGAGCUCGUCAUCCGAGUCGGAGCUGUUUUCCCUGCACGAGGAGCCACAUGUUUGGCUUUGGCUGGCUUAAGCCUCGCGGUGCCGCUUCGGCAAGGUCUUCUUUGCUGGUCGCUUUUCGGGGAAGUCAGAGUCGCUCCGGAGUGUGGAAUGAUGACGAUGACGCCGGUGUGCAACCUCGAUGACGAUCUCCGCCUCGGUGGUGUUUGUGCAGCUUCGGUGGGUUGCCAGGGUGACGGUGUGUGUGCCUUUCGACGGUUGUGUUCCAUGAGGGUCAGCAUGGGUGUUUGUACCGGUUUUUAGCCGGUUUUCCGUUUAAUAAACCGGUUAACCAUUCUUCUCUAUUAAUGAAAAUGGCAAGUCUUGCCUCGUUUUAAAAAAACCGGUUGUGCUGUUUCUCUUUGAGUACUAGUUUGUAUUUGAUAUAAGUGAAGUGCAACAAAAUGAAGAUAUCGGGAAGAGUUUAUUUUAUUCUUUAUAGUUUGCGCCAACUAAAGUAUAAUUUAUGUAAAUCAUUUUGUGUA